CGACUUGGAGGUUGUGCCCUCGAGGCGUGGCUUCCGGAGCUAACGCGUUAAGUCGACCGCCUGGGGAGUACGGCCGCAAGGUUAAAACUCAAAUGAAUUGACGGGGGCCCGCACAAGCGGUGGAGCAUGUGGUUUAAUUCGAUGCAACGCGAAGAACCUUACCUACUCUUGACAUCCAGAGAACUUUCCAGAGAUGGAUUGGCGCCUUCGGGAACUCUGAGACAGGUGCUGCAUGGCUGUCGUCAGCUCGUGUUGUGAAAUGUUGGGUUAAGUCCCGCAACGAGCGCAACCCUUAUCCUUUGUUGCCAGCGGUCCGGCCGGGAACUCAAAGGAGACUGCCAGUGAUAAACUGGAGGAAGGUGGGGAUGACGUCAAGUCAUCAUGGCCCUUACGAGUAGGGCUACACACGUGCUACAAUGGCGCAUACAAAGAGAAGCGACCUCGCGAGAGCAAGCGGACCUCAUCAAGUGCGUCGUAGUCCGGAUUGGAGUCUGCAACUCGACUCCAUGAAGUCGGAAUCGCUAGUAAUCGUAGAUCAGAAUGCUACGGUGAAUACGUUCCCGGGCCUUGUACACACCGCCCGUCACACCAUGGAGUGGGUUGCAAAAGAAGUAGGUAGCUUAACCUUCGGGAGGGCGCUUACCACUUUGUGAUUCAUGACUGGGGGUGAAGUCGUAACAAGAUAGC
rnacentral:rRNA from 1 species